rnacentral:lncRNA from 1 species
UAAAACUAACAUACAGCCAUUUAAAAGCAAAUCUAAAUAAUAAUAAUAAAACCUAAAGCCUAUCUCUCUUCUUCAUUCGACCAAACCUAAAUCCUCACUCAACCAUCGCCUCGCCUCGCCUCGCCUCCGUAAUCAGCAAACGGAGUCGCACGAAGGCCUAAUCGACCCUGUUCGACCAUGAAUCCGAGGGUUUUGCCAUUCUUAAGCCUCACAAUCCCUAUUUGAGCUUCGAUUUCUUCAAAGCAAACAAGGAUUCGAGGGCCUUUAUCACGAUAAGUAUCUUCCCUCUCCUUUAUUUUUGUUUUUUCACUCCUAUGAUAACGAAAAUCAAAGAGAUAAAAGCAAAAUGAAAAAGAAAAAUGAUCUUUCAAAUUACCACUUGAAAACAGUCUUUUAUUCACCCUUUUUGGUACCGAUUUGUAUGCGUAAAUAUGCGUGUAUAUUUCUGCCAAAAAAAAGAUCCCAUUUACAUCAUUUUUCUGGCUUUUUAUAGCUGAUUUACAUCAUAAAUAAAAUAAAAAUUGUAUUUUCUUGCUGUCAUUUAUUGGCCUAUUUUUCUGUUAUCAUUUCUGUUGAUCUUCUCGCAGGUUCCAUUGGAGAUGGUCGUUCGAAAGGAGCAUUCGUGAGCGUGGGCAUGGGAAACCACUUGUGGGAGUGGCUGACUUGCGGCACUAGCAGAUUCCAGAAACCCUAGAGGUUUCUGGUAUUUCAAAACUAUUGGGCCCCCUUUGGGCCAUUUGUAAAUUGGGUUUUGGACUAGUGUUUCAAUUUUGUUUUGGGCUAUAUUUUGUUAUUGGGCUUGAAGGGAUUUAUUUGGGUUAAAUGUAAAUUUGGUAUUUAUGGACUGUGGACUAUAUUUUAUUUUUAUUUGGUUUAUUUAUAAAUUUAAAAGCCCGGGCAAAAUGGGCCUUCUACAACGUUCAGGUUUUACAAUUAUUUUCUAAUUUUAUCAAACUGUUUUAGUGUUUGCUCUAUCUUUAGAUUAUGCAAAUCAAAACCUAUUAUUACCUAAAACAAUAAUUCUAGAAAACAUAUUAUCACAAACCAUAUCCCCCUAUAUGAUUUUAUGUUAUGAUAAUUAGAAAUAACAUAUAAAAUUUAAUGAAAAGAGUCGGUAAGUAAUUCUUGAUUUGUAGAGAAUAGUAGUUAAAGUUUUUAUCAGACACUCAUUCGACACAAAUUCAAAUAUUGUCCAU